CCUACGGGAGGCAGCAGUGAGGAAUAUUGGUCAAUGGGCGAGAGUCUGAACCAGCCAAGUAGCGUGAAGGAUGACUGCCCUCUGGGUUGUAAACUUCUUUUAUAUGGGAAUAAAAUGUUCCACGUGUGGGAUUUUGUAUGUACCAUAUGAAUAAGGAUCGGCUAACUCCGUGCCAGCAGCCGCGGUAAUACGGAGGAUCCGAGCGUUAUCCGGAUUUAUUGGGUUUAAAGGGAGCGUAGGUGGAUUGUUAAGUCAGUUGUGAAAGUUUGCGGCUCAACCGUAAAAUUGCAGUUGAAACUGGCAGUCUUGAGUACAGUAGAGGUGGGCGGAAUUCGUGGUGUAGCGGUGAAAUGCUUAGAUAUCACGAAGAACUCCGAUUGCGAAGGCAGUUCACUGGACGGCAACUGACACUGAGGCUCGAAAGUGUGGGUAUCAAACAGGAUUAGAUACCCCGGUAGUC
rnacentral:rRNA from 1 species